rnacentral:rRNA from 1 species
AGCAGCCGCGGUAAUUCCAGCUCCAAUAGCGUAUAUUAAAGUUGUUGCAGUUAAAAAGCUCGUAGUUGAAUUUCGGGGUCAGUAGGUCGGUCGUGCCACUGGUAUGCACUGGUCUCACUGAUUCCUCCUUCUUGAAGAACCGUAAUGUCAUUAACUUGGUGUUGCGGGGAAACAGGACUGUUACCUUGAAAAAAUUAGAGUGUUUAAAGCAGGCCAGCGCCUGAAUACAUUAGCAUGGAAUAAUGAAAUAGGACGUUCGAUCCUAUUUUGUUGGUUUCUAGGAUUGACGUAAUGAUUAAUAGGGAUAGUUGGGGGCAUUAGUAUUCAAUUGUCAGAGGUGAAAUUCUUGGAUUUAUUGAAGACUAACUACUGCGAAAGCAUUUGCCAAGGAUGUUUUCAUUAAUCAAGAACGAAAGUUAGGGGAUCGAAGACGAUCAGAUACCGUCGUAGUCUUAACCAUAAACUAUGCCAACUAGGGAUCGGAUGAUGUUAAUUUUAUAAUGA